AGAUUCUUCCUCACCCCUACUGUAUUUUCCGGACUUCUGCUUUCUUCUAAGAUAAAUACAGCUGAGUAACACUGAGUUCCACAUCCUCUGAGAAGUCUCACCGGCUUGGACAUAAACUUUGCUCUUGGGAACCGCUGGCUACAUGUAAGCAAUGGGAGGUGUGAAAGGAGAUGCCACUCUGCUCAAGUACAACAGGGGUUGGCACAGUACUGACCUGGCUACAUUUAAGGCUUGAGCCUUUGUGGAUUCACGCAAGAAAAGUCAUGCGAAAUUCAGCAGAUCAGAAGGUGACCCUGUCUACCCUGUCUUGCCUGGGAAGAUUGGCUGUUCCAUCCCCUAAAGCAUAGAGUAAUGAAAUAGAUCCUGAUCAUGCUUUCUCAAGGCAAGUUCAUCUACCAGCAUAAAGGUCAGCAAUUCCAGAUUUCUACUGCAAAGACUGAGCCUGCUGUCGGUCCAGACUUCUUGAAGUCGUUGUUCGUCCUGUUAUAUACACUGUAAAUUUUGCUACUGUGAUUUCAGACAGUGAAAAGCAUUAAUCCUUAAAAUUCAGUCUACCACAGCCCCUUCCUAUACUGACCAAACUGAUGCCUGUAUUAUUGUGUUGGUUUUUUAAAUGGAAUAUUUGCUUCUAAGUUAAUGUCAAAGUUCUUUGUCAUAUGCCUCCUUCCAUAUUUGAAAAAUGCAACCACUGUGACCUAACCUCCCUUAUGGCCAACUCACCUUUAUGGUUUCCAAAAUGAAUCAUUCUAAUGUCAAAGAACCAAUUUACACUUGCAGAUCAUUCAUUUACUACUACUACUACCAUGCUUAAUUGUCAUGUCCAGCUCAUACAGCACCUUCCCAAAUUCCAGAACUCAAUGUAGGUCAAAUACGAGGGAAUUUAACCUCUUCCAAAUAAUGGCCUACAUCUAAAGAGACAAAACUUGAUUUUGAAAUAGGAGUUUCAAAGUAAACAGCCCUUUCCUCCAGCUAUUUUACUGAAAGUGUUCCUAUUUUGGCUGGAGACUUCAUUUGCUUUUUCUUUUCAAAGGUAUCACAGAGCUUGACAGUACCGCAAGCUGUGUUUGGAGAGCAGGCACAAUGAGAUCAUUCUUUGGUGUCACUGCUUCUGUUCUAAGUUCAGCUUGACUCUCAAGCUGUGGUUUGACAAGACGGAAUCUGUUUUUCAGUCCACAUAGUGUCAAGAUGUCAAAGGUUCUGUAAUCAUAAGAAUGUACACUGGUAGAGAGUCUCUCAAAUGAUUCAAGAUUUUAACAUUGUUUUGAAGAGAUUUUGUCCUAGUAGAUUUAAUAUAGAGCAAGAAUUCUUUGUCUAGGCAUCUCUAACUCCAUGCAGUCUUCCUGCCAGCCCAAAACUGUAAAGUGAACAUAAAUACCACACUGUGUGCUCUGGCUAAAACAGCAGAAAUGAGUCGAUAUGCUCUUGCCUGAUUUUGAUCAAAUUUGUACCACAACAUGGUGUAUAACCGCAUAGAGCUUGUGUUAAAUGAUUACAGAGCCACUGUCUUGGUAGUCUACCAAAGCAACAACUCUGUGGUUAGAAGAUUAAAGGCAUUUCAUCAUAGCAUCUGCUCUGCUCUUAGAAUUAGAAACACCCCCAUCUGUGGAAGCUGUCACAUCUAAUAAAUAGACAGUUUCAAUCAUUACCAUCUAGGAUGUCAUCAGGAGCACAAGAUGGAAGAUGAAGAUGAUGUGCCUCAGCUGCAGGAUUUUUAAUGCUAUAUUUAUAGUGACCCAGACCUCCCCAACUAACAAAAAAAUUAUUGCUUUUUGGGCAGGGUGAGUGUAUUGGUGUGCCCCUAUGUGUUCUAAUCAAAUCAGUAUUUUCUCUCAUCUACAGAUGUACUACAGUUCUGUAAUUAUAAACUCGUAAGGUUCCCUAGAGAUUGUUUAUCUGAUCAGUAGAAACUACAUGGCAUAUAUAUACUAUCUAUAAUUUUACAUGCACAGAGUAUUGGUAGUUGAUUAUUUAAUCCUGAAUACAGCAAGCCAGAAGAUAAAAUCCAAGCAGAGAGAGUCUGAAUUAAAACUUUUCUUAAAAGAUCACCCAGUCUUUAGAAUAAAAAUGUUGAACUACUGAAGUAUUUGGUGAAUACCACAAACUUUAGCAUGCUGUUCCAAUGGUUCUUUUCUAAUUCUAAACUUACAGAAGAUAGACCUGACAGCUUAUAUGUAGCGUGAAGAACAUUCCUCUCUUUCCUAUUUUAGGAUUUAGAAGCUUGAAGACAGCUCCUAACUUCUCUUGUAAGUCAAAACAAACUUCUUGAGUCAUCAAUUCAGUAUUAACUCAAUGUUUAGUUUGAUCUUCUCUGGUCUUUCAGGUGCUUUGCAGGUGCUUACCUGCACCUUUCCUAAACAAUAAUAAUCUGUCUUGAACUGUGGACAACUGCACUAGGGGCCAUACCACAGCAUUUACCCCAGUACCACACACAGAGGCAACAUAAUUCUCUUACUACUUCCAGAAAUUCUUCCGCCUAUGAAUCCAAUUCUAUUUGGAAAUCUAAUUUACCAUUUUAAUUCUGGUUGCAGCACUUAGACAGAUGAUUAAUCACCGUGACCCUAAAGACCUUUUAAAAAUCAAAGCAUGCUUCCUGCAGACUUCAAGAGCAUAGCUUUGCAUUUGGCAGUUAAGUUACAUAUUUGCUUAUAUUCCUCUUGCAGACAAUCCAAAUGAUUUCAGUGGUUUGCCCUUUUCAUGAUUUAUGAUUCCCUCAGUCUUUCUGACACCUGUAAAUACUGUCAGUUAUCUCUGAUUUCUCUUCUGCUUGUUUCCAUGGGAUUCAGCUGCUUUCAUCACAGAAUCACAGAAUGGCCAGGGUUGGAAGGGACCUCAAGGAUCAUGAAUCUCCAACACC